CGCACGGGUGAGUAACACGUAUGCAACCUGGCCGUGACAGAUGGAUAACCGGGAGAAAUCCCGCCUAAUACAGCAUGAUGCCGGGAAGGGACAUCCCUUUCCGGCCAAAGGGGGCGACUCCGGUCACGGAUGGGCAUGCGGCGCAUUAGGUAGUUGGUGGGGCAACGGCCCACCAAGCCGACGAUGCGUAGGGGUUCUGAGAGGAAGGUCCCCCACACUGGUACUGAGACACGGACCAGACUCCUACGGGAGGCAGCAG
rnacentral:rRNA from 1 species